rnacentral:rRNA from 1 species
AUUGAACGCUGGCGGCAUGCUUUACACAUGCAAGUCGAACGGUAACAGGCCGCAAGGUGCUGACGAGUGGCGAACGGGUGAGUAAUGCAUCGGAACGUGCCCAGUCGUGGGGGAUAACUACUCGAAAGAGUAGCUAAUACCGCAUACGAUCUAUGGAUGAAAGCGGGGGACCGUAAGGCCUCGCGCGAUUGGAGCGGCCGAUGUCAGAUUAGGUAGUUGGUGGGGUAAAGGCUCACCAAGCCAACGAUCUGUAGCUGGUCUGAGAGGACGACCAGCCACACUGGGACUGAGACACGGCCCAGACUCCUGCGGGAGGCAGCAGUGGGGAAUUUUGGACAAUGGGCGCAAGCCUGAUCCAGCAAUGCCGCGUGCAGGAAGAAGGCCUUCGGGUUGUAAACUGCUUUUGUACGGAACGAAACGGCUCUGGUUAAUACCCGGGGCUAAUGACGGUACCGUAAGAAUAAGCACCGGCUAACUACGU